rnacentral:rRNA from 1 species
CAGUCGCCGCGGGAAUACAGAGGGUGCUAGCGUUAAUCGGAUUUACUGGGCGUAAAGCGUGCGUAGGCGGCUUCUUAAGUCGGAUGUGAAAUCCCUGAGCUUAACUUAGGAAUUGCAUUCGAUACUGGGAAGCUAGAGUAUGGGAGAGGAUGGUAGAAUUCCAGGUGUAGCGGUGAAAUGCGUAGAGAUCUGGAGGAAUACCGAUGGCGAAGGCAGCCAUCUGGCCUAAUACUGACGCUGAGGUACGAAAGCAUGGGGAGCAAACAGGAUUAGAUACCCCCGUAGUCCCUGUCUCUUAUAA